CUAGAUAUGUAUAUUUGAGAUGCUGAGGGAGUGUUUUGAGUUCUAGUUUAGGUGCUUUCUCAAUCGAUGGCUUGUGUAUAGGUUCAUCCAUCCUCACAAGUAGUUCGAUAGAUGGUUGCCAUUAUGGAUGAACUCUCUAAUCACUAGAUGGAGAUAUUUCAUGAACUAUUUCAAAUUCUUGAUCUGACUAGAUAUUACAGUCAAAAUCUUCUUCCCCU
rnacentral:lncRNA from 1 species